UUAUUUCUUUAAAUAUUUUGGGAUUAAUAAUGACUUGAUUGUUAUUGUUUUUUAUCAAAUCAUCAAUUUUAUUUUGAACUGUUAUGAAAUCAUCAUGAUCUGGUGUUCCUGCUAUCCAUUUCCAAAUUGUGCCUAAUUCAUUAAUGCCUCCUUUUGAUCUAGUGGGUAUUAUUUGAGAAAUAAAUAUUUUAAUAAUUUUUAAAUCGUGGAGUAUUUCCCAUUGUGAAUUUUGAACGUUAUGAGUGUUUAAAAAUUCUGUUUCAAGAGCGAAUCAAAAGAAGUCGAAGCGUUCCACUCGAUUCAGCAAAUUAAAAUUAAGAAGCUAUUAUACGAAAAUAUGGCUUUAAAAAACGGAAGCUGCCCUCAAUUACCAUUGACAAAUGAUAUGAAUAAUGGGUCCUCUUCUGAAUGCCAAUCAAAAAAUGUUCUUCCAGCUCAUAUUACUAAUCCGAUAAAAUUUCAAGGAAAUCAAUUUAAAUAUCAGCUUACUGACAGAAAACCUCGCCAAGCCUAUAAUGCCUCUCAGUUGGAUCGUCUCGAAAAAGAAUUCAUUAUAGACAAAUAUCUUAGCGUUAGUAAACGUGUUGAGCUUUCGAGAUCUCUACUUUUGACGGAAGUUCAAAUAAAAACAUGGUUUCAAAAUCGCCGGACAAAAUGGAAAAAACAGAUGGCAUCGCGGUUAAAAAUAGCGCAAAGACAAGGAUUAUGGAUUCCAACUCUACCAACAGCACCGAUUUUUCCAUAUACAAUAUAUGAAAACAUUGAAGCACAAUUAAGCAUUACGAAACCUUAAAUAAAGUAAUUAACAGACAAAACGGUUUUCAAAAAUUCAAUUUUUGUUCAAUUUCUUGGUUUAAGCGAACCAACAACAAAUAUCGCCAGGCACAGAAAACAAAACACUGCUACCUGUUUGAAAAAAAUAGUUAUUUAAGUCCGAUUAUACUAACAUUUCAUGCUGCUAACUUUGUGAUUUGUGAUAACAUGUUAAAUUUUUGUAUAUUAAAACUUUUUCAAACUUUUCGGCAA